rnacentral:tRNA from 1 species
GCCUGGGUGGCUCGGUCGGUUGAGUGGCCGACUUUGGCUCAGGUCAUGAUCUCGCGGUCCGUGGGUUCGAGCCCCACAUCAGGCU